GGGCUCGUGGCGUAGUGGCAACACGUUUGCUUCAUAAGCAUAUGGUCAUGGGUUUGAAUCCCAGCCCCG
rnacentral:tRNA from 1 species